CUCCUGCAUCAUGACUCCACAGCUCUAGGUCUGUGUCUGGGUCUCCUACAUCGUGACUCCACAGCUCUAGGACUGUAUCUGGGUCUCCUACAUCAUGACUCCACAGCUCUAGGUCUGUGUCUGGGUCUCCUACAUCAUGACUCCACAGCUCUAGGUCUGUGUCUGGGUCUCCUACAUCAUGACUCCACAGCUCUAGGUCUGUGUCUGGGUCUCCUACAUCAUGACUCCACAGCUCUAGGACUGUAUCUGGGUCUCCUACAUCAUGACUCCACAGCUCUAGGUCUGUGUCUGGGUCUCCUACAUCAUGACUCCACAGCUCUAGGACUGUGUCUGGGUUUCCUAAAUCAUCCUCUUCCCUCCAUGUCCUCCUGGCUGCUGCUGUUCUAAGUGCUCCACUGACCUGCUGUUGUCGUCUGUCCUCCUUGGCUCAUCUGAGAUGUUUAGAUUACAUCAUAUUUGAGGACACAUAAUUUAAGGGCCUAUGUAUUUUUCAUGUUUUAUUCACCUACAAUCUUUUCCCCUCCCUUUCUGGCUGCCCUGCCCCCUUCCCUACUCAGAU
rnacentral:lncRNA from 1 species